rnacentral:lncRNA from 10 species
CUCAGUAUACACACAGUAAUAGUUCCACAACCGCCAGUGCAUGACCAAAUCCGCACAUACUCAAGUCCCACAGUCAGCCCUGACACAUCUACAUAUACGAAGUCAGCCCUCCAUAUACUGUGUUUUCCAUCCAUGUUUGAAAAAAAACUGUUGUAAGUGAACUCACAUAGCUCAAACCCAUGUUGUUCAAGAGUCAACUGUGUUUGAAGGCACAGCUGUAGAUUUAUGCACCAAGUAUUAGUUAACUGCUACAUGGAAAGCAAAAGUAAGAUUACAUAUAGCACUUUAUCAAGGUUUGUACAUAUUUCAAAACUCAUUAAUUGAACAUACUAUUCAUAAAUAUUCUACAAAUUAAUAUUUCUGGAAGCUUGCUUGAGCCUGUCAGAAGAUAAGCUUUUGCCUUAUUUUUGUGUAAAUAGUAACAGUUAAAAAAAAUCAGUAAAACCAAAGCGACAGUAAUCCAAAAGGGACUGUCACUUGCUCUUUUUUUUUUAGACAGAGUUUUGCUAUUGUUGCCCAGGGUGGGGUGCAAUGGUGUGAUCUCAGAUCAUCACAACCUCCACCUCCGGGGUUCAAGCUAUUCUCCUGCCUCAGCCUCCCGAGUAGCUGGGAUUACAGGCAUGUGCCACCAUGCCCGGCUAAUUUUGUAUUUUUAGUAGACAUGGGGUUUCUCCAUGUUGGUCAGGCUGGUCUCAAACUCCCGACCUCAGGUGAUCCGCCUGCCUUGGCCUCCCAAAGUGCUGGGAUUACAGCACUUGCUCUUCAUUGUUCCUCAAGUAGUGGGAAAGACAAUCUACAGAGCAGUUAUGACCUUGCCAGAACCUCGGGGUCUCUGAAUAGAAAGAUCUAUUCUGAUCCAAUCCAGUUCUCCCUCUGAUAAGACUGAUCAGAAAAGGCAGGGAUUACUCUACCAACACCAAAGACAUUUAACUGUCAUAAUCCCAAACUCUGAAUCAUGAUCUCAGAAGAGGGCUCGAGCCAGAUAUUCCUACGUUUCUCUUCAAAAAUCCUAGUUCCACUCUGUUUGCUGUGAGUCCUCGAUACAGUUGUAAGACUCAGUUUCCUCAUCAGGAAAUAAUGAUUCUAAACCUAUCCCACUGAAUUGCUGUAAGGAUUAAAUAAAAAGAAUACAUGUUAAACAUUCUCUAUUAAUGUCUGGCCCUUAGUAUGUACUAGAUUAAUCAUUGGCAUGUAUUGUUACUAUUAUUAUUUUAAUUCAAUGUUAACAAAGUUUCAGUUUAUCCAGUAUUUCUUCACUUUUACAACUCUGCUGGAUCCCUCAUAAAGCUGCAACAAUAACAGAGAAAAGCUAGAGACAUCUAACCCUUUUUAAAAGUGCUGUUUGCUAAAUAACGUACAGGCAUAUCUCUUUUUACUUUACUCUGCUUUAUUGCCCUUUGCAGAUAUUGUGACUUUUACAAAUUGAAGGUUUGUGGCAACUCUGAGUCAAACAAGUGUAUUAGUGCCACUUUUCCAACAGCAUGUGCUCACUUAGUGUCUCUGUGUUACAUUUUGGUUAGUCUCACAAUACUUCAAACUUUUUCAUUAUUAUUGUAUCUGUUAUAGUGAUCUGUGAUCAGUGAUUCCCAGUGUUACUACUCUAAUUAUUUUCAGCUGCCAAGAACUGCAUCCAUAUAAGACAGUGAACUUAAAUAGAUGUGUGUGUUCUGAGUGCUCCCCCAACCAACUGUUCCCAUCUCUGUUUCUCUCCUAUGGGCCUCCCUAUUCUCUGGAAUACAACGAUAUUGAAAUUUAGGCCAGUUAAUAACCCUUCAAUGGCCUCUAAGUAUUCAAGUGAAAAGAACAGUCAUACAUCUCUCACUUUAAAUCAAAAGCUAGAAAUGAUUAAGCUUUGCAAGGAAGGCAUAUCAAAAGCCAAAAAAGACCAAGAGCUAGGCCUCUUGCACUGAAAAGUUAGCUAACUUGUUAAUGCGAAGGAAAAGUUCUCAAAAAAUAUUAAAAGUACUAUUCCAGUGAACACAUAAAUGAUAAGAAAAUGAAAUAGCCUUAUUACUGACAGCAAGAAAAUCUGAGUGGGCUGAAUAGAAGAUCAAACCAGCCAUAACAUUCCCUUGAGCGAAAGCCUAAUCCAGAGCAAGACCCUAAUUCUCUUCAAUUCUAUAAAAGCUAAAAGAGGUGAGAAAGCUACAAAAGAAAAGUUUGAAGCUAGCAGAGGUUAGUUCAUGAGGUUUAAGAAAAGAACUCAUCUCCAUAACAUUAAAGUACAAGGUGAAGCAGUACGUGCUGAUAGAGGACCUGCAGCAAGUAAUCCAGAAGAUACAGCUAAGAUAACUGAUGAAGGUGGCUAUGCUAAACAACAGAUUUUCAAUGCAGACAAAACAGCCUCCAUAGGAAGAAGGUGUCAUCUGGGUCUUAUAGGUAGAGAGGAGAAGUCAAUGCCUGGCUACAAAGCUUCAAAGGACAGGCAGACUCUUUUAUUAGGAGUUAACCCACCUGGCGACUUUAAAAGGAAGCCAAUGCUCAUUUCCCAUUUUGAAAAUCCUAGGGCUCUUAAGAAUUAUGCUAAAUCUACUCU